CUGGCCCGACGCACGCUUGUUCAACUCUAUCACCUCUACGUCCUUUAUCACACACCAGCCCAGAUCCACCGCAUCUGGGGAUGGUACAGGAGAGACUGGAGGCUAGCAGCAGCAUCAGCCACAGCCCCUCUCCUUCCCCAUGACAUCACCACCGAGCCCUACUAUUGGCUAAGAGGAAUGGCAGCAUCCAGCCCUGGCAGCCUAUCAGGUGGACCUGGACCUCACAGUCCCUGACGGACACGGUUACCGACCAAAGCCGACGACUGGGUCAACUAGAGAACACAACAAACUUUAUCGACACCAAACUGUCAUCAACGGUGCUCCGAGACCUCCGGCCCCAACGGGAAGAGCCGUAAGACAGAAGACACGGUCAAGACCCUGGAGUGGAGAGUGGUAGGCCAACGAGGAGGAUAUCCAGGAGUUUGACACCGUAUUCAAGAACCUGUUUGUGAUUGGUGACUCUAUCAUGGACAGGGUGGUGGAUCUUAGCAACAACAUCAAGAAGAUUAGGCUUGACGGGGGAGAACGGCAAGCCCUUUAACCGGAUAAUUAUGCAAGUGGAGAUGUUGUGGCGGAGCAAGGACGACUGUUCCGUCUGUACCUGAGUAGAAGAAGACCUGCGGUUAUUCACCAACAGCACCAACAGCGCCCUCGGGAGGUGGCAGGCGGCCAGUAUCAUUAGUUAUAACCACCACCGUUGUACAAGUUUACUACCCAGAAUGACUCUGUGAAGGGGCUGGGUCGUGACACCCUGUGUAAUUACCUGUGACACUAUGUAAUUACCUGUGACACUAUGUCAUUACCUGUGACACUCUAUGUCAUUACCUGCGGCACUCUAUGUCAUUACCUGUGGCAGUCUGUCAUUACCUGUGACACUCUAUGUCAUUACCUGUGACACUAUGUCAUUACCUGUGGCAGUCUAUGUCAUUACCUGUGGCAGUCUAUGUCAUUACCUGUGGCACUCUAUGUCAUUACCUGUGACACUAUGUCAUUACCUGCGACACUAUGUCAUUACCUGCGACACUAUGUCAUUACCUGCGACACUAUGUCAUUACCUGUGACACUAUGUCAUUACCUGUGACACUAUGUCAUUACCUGUGACACUAUGUCAUUACCUGUGACACUAUGUCAUUACCUGUGACACUAUAUGUCAUUACCUGUGACACUAUAUGUCCUCACCUGUGACACUAUAUGUCAUUACCUGUGACACUAUGUCAUUACCUAUGACACUCUAUGUCAUUACCUGUGGCACUAUGGGUUUUCCUGUGGCACUAUGUAAUUACCUGUGACACUAUGUCAUUAUCUGUGACACUCUAUGUAAUUACCUGUGACACUCUAUGUCCUUACCUGUGGCACUCUGUCAUUACCUGUGACACUAUGUCAUUACCUGUGGCAGUCUAUGUCAUUACCUGUGGCACUCUAUGUCAUUACCUGUGGCACUCUAUGUCAUUACCUGUGGCACUCUAUGUCAUUACCUGCGGCACUAUGUCAUUACCUGCGACACUAUGUCAUUACCUGCGACACUAUGUCAUUACCUGCGACACUAUGUCAUUACCUGCGACACUAUGUCAUUACCUGUGACACUAUAUGUCAUUACCUGUGACACUAUAUGUCAUUACCUGUGACACUAUGUCAUUACCUGUGACACUAUAUGUCAUUACCUGUGACACUAUGUCAUUACCUGUGACACUAUAUGUCAUUACCUGUGACACUAUAUGU